rnacentral:piRNA from 1 species
UGAUUGUAGCUCGUUUAAAUUUUUUGGA